CCGAGGCCGAGCAGACGAGCUGACUGAGUUUAUUAGGGGAAUGGAGUUGGUUCCAGAGGUGGAGGCGUAUUUCAGGCUCGGCAGCAGUCACUCAAUGUGCGUUGUCAGAGGUGAAAUCAAGUACGUGAAGUUUAGUCACAGCUGAAGGUCUCUGCCGCUGGCCUGAGCGAUUCUCUUCCCCGACACCAGAUUCCCCACCAUCACAGAGGCAGGUCCGAUCUCUGGCUGCUUCUGCCGGGGUUUGGGCAGGUUGGUGACGCACGUGUGGGGGCACAUGAGGACGUUGCAGGGGUGCAGCCCCCCCUCCAGGUACAGCUGCUUGAUCUCUGACAGGUGGAUCCCACCCAGAGGCGUUUUAGGCAGCGUGUUGGCAGGAACCAGAGCCAGACAGAACACGCCCACCCCGUGGAUGCUGUCUAUGGCCUGGGAGGGAGGAGGGGGCACAUUAACUACUGAGUACUGUAACACAGACAACUCGCUGCUACUGGACUCGGUGACAGGAGGAGUUGAGCUACCUGCAGGACGCGGCUCAUCCACUGGAAGCUGUCCUCCUCUGUGGAGUCAGGUCUCUGCUCAGCCACAACCACAAUCCUUUCAUCUCUCAGCACCGUCACAGAGAACACAGCUAUCCUGCAGGGACAGAGGGGAGAAAGGACUCACGAUGGCUGCUCAUUCAUCACCGGUUCAGCUGCUGUCUCACCUGCCCCUGUAGACGAACUUCAUGGGCUCAACCGCCAGAGCCGUGGCGACGAUGUCGUCGGCGUUGUGCCUGCGCCCGCUCACCAUGAUGAGGCCGUCCAUCUUGCCGGUGAUGAAGACAAGGCCGCCAGGGCCGAUGAAGCCCAGCAGGCCGGUCCGCACAAAGGCGUACUCGCUGAUCAGCCCUCCGCUGGAGCUCACCGGGUAGACCUGCAAACACACGUGGGUUCAGCCAUGGUCACCAUGGCAACAAGUCAGAACUGAGGCUGAGACUGAGUCAGGGGUGAAAUCAAGCAUCUGUAUUUUUAACCUGCUGGUCCUUCACACAUACUGUAGGGUUUUAAUUCUAGUAUAUGAGGCCACAGUUCACCAGCGGACAAACAGGACAAACUUAAGACAAAGAAAAUUAAUCGGGGCGUUAGCUGAACAGAUUUUAUUCUCACUUAAUUUUAACAGUUUUCUGAACCAGUGGUUGAACAAGUGGAGACAUUUUUAUUGGAACAUUUCUCUGCUCACCUCAAACGUGUUCUUGGUCAUGCCGGUGAGGCCGUAGUAGGAGGUGCCGGUAGCGAUGGAGCAGACACACAGCUCCCCGAUCUCGUCUGUCUGACAAAGCUGAGGGACGCCUUCAGGCUUCACCACGCACACCAGGCCUGGACAAAGCAGAGGAGGCAGACACUAUUUUAAGACGGCAAUUUUUCACACGGGGAGAAGCCAUGGUGCGACUGUAAUGCACAGUAACUGUAACACCCAGAUGUCACAGACCCAGAGAAUCAGAACCAUCGUCAAACAACGAUGAUCUUAAAUCUCAGUUUCAGUAUUUUCUUUCUCUGGUUAUGUUGCAGCUGUAUUGACUGUGAUAAACACUGGGUGGGCUUUCACUGUACGUGGCCACAUCCACCACUGUAACGUCACCGUUACUGGUAAUUAGCUGAAGUGACACCAGCUCUUUAAAUAAUAAAGACAAACUGAAAACUGGA